CCCCGACUCCACGGACGGGCGCCGGGGGGCGGCCAGGACGCCGGGGUCCCGCGUCUCUGGGAGCGAGGUUGUCGAGGUUAGAAAGACAUUUAGGGAAAUAUUUGCCAAAGAGAGUCGGGUGGGAUCCAGAUCUCGUCCGUUCCCUAGACAGCCCGCUUGCGCCAACCACCUAACACGUGCCUGGCACUGUUCCAGUUGCUGGGGACACAGUGUGCUUUGUCCCAAGACAGGACUGAGUGAUGAUGCCCGCGGCUGCUCCACGUCGUCGGGCUCAGCUGCAGGCAGCCUUCUCCAGCUUGGAGCCAGACGUCAUCAUCUCCGGAAAGAGUACCUGUGCACGAGUCCCCCUUCAGAUCCCCCUCUGCCACCAGAGCCACGGGGCUCCAGCCUUUCCACUUUAUCCCGACCUGUGAGGGGAGAGGCCAGUGCCG